CUGCCGAAUGAAUUAGCCCUGAAAAUGGAUGGCGCUAAAGCGAGUAGCCGACACCAUGCCGUCUGUAAAAAAUUGGAGUGAAAGUUACAGAUGAGUAGGAGGAACGUGGCGGUCGUAUUGAAGCGUAUGCGCAAGCAUGCGUGGAACGGCCGCUAGUGCAGAUCUUGGUGGUAGUAGCAAAUAUUCAAAUGAAAACCUUGAAGGGCGAAGCGGGGAAGGGUUCCACGCGAACAUUGAUUGAGCGUGGGUGAGUCGUUCCUAAGCCGUCUGGUAAUUUGCUAGACACACGGCGAAAGGGAAGCAGGUUGAUAUUCCUGCACACGGAUGUGGAUAUGCGGUGACGCACACUGGGGCGGUGAAGUCGUUGGUUGCACUGGGCAGAGAUUUCUUUUCUGUUUGACGGAGCCAGACUGUACUCUAUGGAAUCCGCUUGUCGGGAGAAAUAGGUAUGUCAUGGCAAAGCGCCGGGUUUUUUUCUGGCGUCCAGUUUGCGACUAGCGGACCUUGAAAAGCUGUCUGCUGGCAAAAUGCACUUGUUGUAUUUUGUGUGAAAAAAUCCACGCCGUAACGUACCCAUAACCGCAUCAGGUCCCCAAGGUGAACAGCCUCUGCUCUAUAUGAAAAAUGCAGGUGAGGGAAGUCGGCAAAUUAGACCCGUAACUUUGGGAAAAGGGUUGGCUCUAGUGCUGCGUAGGAUUUGUUGUUGGUUGUAGCUGCGGCUCUUGUCAUUUUUGCCGGAGGCUGCAAGGCGCUUUCGGGUGCUUUGCGUCACUGUGCGGGAGUGCUGGAUUCGUGGUUCCUGGCGGCGCCUACAGCAUGCAGCAAACUAGAACUGCAACGGACAAAGGGAAUCCGACUGUUUAAUUAAAACAAAGCA
rnacentral:rRNA from 1 species